GAGGCGAAGGCAAAGCGGCGCUAAAAAGCUUUACAACUCUCGGCGGAAAUUUUGCUUUCACGCCUUAGUCCUCUGUACUUUAUAAUCAAAAAACGUUUAGACAAAGGUUUAAUAAGCAAGAGGCAAGGAGUUUCACCCUCAGCAAAAGAUGACAGCUCGUAGGCUGGCUUGCCUUUCGGCGUUGCUUCACACAUUACUCUUUGUGAAAGGUUGCGACCACUGCGAGUGCGAUCAAAGAGGGGCUCUGUCGUCUUGCCAACUCGUUGCCCCUCAGUGUAAGCCCCAUCACGAUCUUGUCCCUGAAGAGACAAUGUGUGAUGCAAGGGGACUGAAAUGCUGUCGAAUGACUUGCGAUGGGCCUGGAACGAUGUGCUUACCUGAGGAGGGUCCUUCUAGUUCAGCAUAUGCCGAUUUAGGGACCAAGACUUGUAAGGAAGGAUUUAAAUGCGUCAAGGCUGCUUCUCGUCUUAGGAAAAAGUUACGGAUGCCAUAAAUUCAUUGCUCAUGGUUAGGAUAUUUGAAGACAAAGAUAAUUUAUUUUCCAACUUCUCUUGGACGCUUAUGAGAUGUGAAUUAUGCUAUCCAGGUAGAUAGUCUUUGGAAAAAAAUAUUUUAUGUAUGUUUAACGACGGUGCAUUGUUGAAACUGAUAAGUAAUAUUUGUAUCAAAAUUAAGUAGUCUUUGA